rnacentral:rRNA from 1 species
UACGGGGGGGGGCAAGCGUUGUUCGGAAUUACUGGGCGUAAAGGGCUCGUAGGCGGCCAACUAAGUCCGACGUGAAAUCCCCAGGCUUAACCUGGGAACUGCAUCCGAUACUGGAUGGCUUGAAUCCGGGAGAGGGAUGCAGAAUUCCAGGUGUAGCGGUGAAAUGCGUAGAUAUCUGGAGGAAUACCGGUGGCGAAGGCGGCAUCCUGGACCGGCAUUGACGCUGAGUGAGCGAAAGCCAGGGGAGCAAACGGG